UCUGGGAAAGAUUCUAUCGGUAUGGGAUGGGGUCGCGUCCUAUCAGCUUGAUGGCGGGGUAACGGCCCACCAUGGCUUCGACGGGUAGCCGGCCUGAGAGGGCGACCGGCCACAUUGGGACUGAGAUACGGCCCAGACUCCUACGGGAGGCAGCAGUGGGGAAUAUUGCACAAUGGGCGCAAGCCUGAUGCAGCGACGCCGCGUGCGGGAUGACGGCCUUCGGGUUGUAAACCGCUUUUGACUGGGAGCAAGCCCUUCGGGGUGAGUGUACCUUUCGAAUAAGCACCGGCUAACUACGUGCCAGCAGCCGCGGUAAUACGUAGGGUGCAAGCGUUAUCCGGAAUUAUUGGGCGUAAAGGGCUCGUAGGCGGUUCGUCGCGUCCGGUGUGAAAGUCCAUCGCUUAACGGUGGAUC
rnacentral:rRNA from 1 species